rnacentral:rRNA from 1 species
UUGGGAAUCUUCCACAAUGGACGCAAGUCUGAUGGAGCAACGCCGCGUGAGUGAAGAAGGUUUUCGGAUCGUAAAGCUCUGUUGUUGGUGAAGAAGGAUAGAGGCAGUAACUGGUCUUUAUUUGACGGUAAUCAACCAGAAAGUCACGGCUAACUACGUGCCAGCAGCCGCGGUAAUACGUAGGUGGCAAGCGUUGUCCGGAUUUAUUGGGCGUAAAGCGAGCGCAGGCGGAAUGAUAAGUCUGAUGUGAAAGCCCACGGCUCAACCGUGGAACUGCAUCGGAAACUGUCAUUCUUGAGUGCAGAAGAGGAGAGUGGAAUUCAAUGUGUAGCGGAGGAAUGCGUAGAUAUAUGGAAGAACACCAGUGGCGAAGGCGGCUCUCUGGUCUGCAACUGACGCUGAGGCUCGAAAGCAUGGGUAGCGAACAGG